AUACGGAGGUUGCGAGCGUUAAUCGGAAUUACUGGGCGUAAAGCGCGCGUAGGCGGUUAGAUAAGUCUGAUGUGAAAGCCCCGGGCUCAACCUGGGAACUGCAUUCGAUACUGGCAAACUAGAGUAUAGUAGAGGCAAGUGGAAUUCCGGGUGUAGCGGUGAAAUGCGUAGAUAUCCGGAGGAACACCAGUGGCGAAGGCGACUUGCUGGACUAAUACUGACGCUGAGGAGCGAAAGCGUGGGGAGCAAACGGGAUUAGAAACCCCAGUAGUCC
rnacentral:rRNA from 1 species